rnacentral:rRNA from 1 species
UACAGAGGGUGCGAGCGUUGUUCGGAAUUAUUGGGCGUAAAGGGUGCGUAGGCGGAUUUUUAAGUCAGGGGGGAAAUCCUGGAGCUCAACUCCAGAACUGCCUUUGAUACUGGGAAUCUCGAGUCCGGAAGAGGUGAGUGGAACUGCGAGUGUAGAGGUGAAAUUCGUAGAUAUUCGCAAGAACACCAGUGGCGAAGGCGGCUCACUGGUCCGGUACUGACGCUGAGGUGCGAAAGCGUGGGGAGCAAACAGG